rnacentral:rRNA from 1 species
AAAGGAAUUGACGGGGGCCCGCACAAGCAGCGGAGCAUGUUGUUUAAUUCGAAGCAACGCGAAGAACCUUACCAGGUCUUGACAUCGAUCAAAUCCCCCAGAGAUGGGGAGUGUCUUCGGACGUGAGAAGACAGGUGGUGCAUGGUUGUCGUCAGCUCGUGUCGUGAGAUGUUGGGUUAAGUCCCGCAACGAGCGCAACCCUUAUGGUCAGUUACUAACGGUUCGGCCGAGGACUCUGACAAGACUGCCGGGGACAACUCGGAGGAAGGUGGGGACGACGUCAAAUCAUCAUGCCCCUUAUGACCUGGGCUACAAACGUGCUACAAUGGUGACUACAAAGAGAAGCGAGACCGUGAGGUGGAGCGGAUCUCAAAAAAGUCAUCUCAGUUCGGAUUGUGGGCUGCAACCCGCCCACAUGAAGUUGGAGUUGCUAGUAAUCGCGAAUCAGCAUGUCGCGGUGAAUACGUUCCCGGGCCUUGUACACACCGCCCGU